rnacentral:tRNA from 1 species
CAGAGUAUAGCUAAAUAGAAAAGCAUCUCCCUUACACUGAGAAGUCAUCUGUGCAAACCAGAUUACCCUGA